AUUGAACGCUGGCGGCAGGCCUAACACAUGCAAGUCGAACGAGUGGCGGACGGGUGAGUAAUGUCUGGGAAACUGCCUGAUGGUGGGGGAUAACUACUGGAAACGGUAGCUAAUACCGCAUACCCUCAGAUGUGCCCAGAUGGGUUUAGCUUGUUGGUGGGGUAACGGAUCACCAAGGCGACGAUCCCUAGCUGGUCUGGGAGGAGGACAAGCCACACUGGAAUUGAGACACGGUCCAGACUCAUACGCGAGGCAGCAGUGGGGAAUAUUGCACAAUGGACGCAAGCCUGAUGCAGCCAUGCCGCGUGUAUGAAGAAGGCAUUCGGGUUGUAAAGUACUUUCAGCGGGGAGGCGUUACCCGCAGAAGAAGCACCGGCUAACUCCGUGCCAGCCGCCGCGGUAAUUC
rnacentral:rRNA from 1 species